UGAUCCUCCGCCAUUACAGACUGAUCUCUUCCUAUUUGGAAUUUCACAGCGCUGUGGUCAGCCUGAGCAAAUAAGAAUAUUGAUAGGCUUGAAAGGCAAGAACCUCUUCAGAGAAUGAACUUCAUUAGUCACUAACCCAAGAUCCCAUCAGCUGAGACAGAAUUUCCAGAGCAAAGGGAAGUGAGAGGUUCCCCCUGCCAUGCAACUUUGCAUCAUUCUAGAAAACAACUUUCAUUUAAAUUCAAACU
rnacentral:lncRNA from 1 species